rnacentral:rRNA from 1 species
CAGGCCUAACACAUGCAAGUCGAACGAUGACUCUCUAGCUUGCUAGAGAUGAUUAGUGGCGGACGGGUGAGUAACAUUUAGGAAUCUGCCUAGUAGUGGGGGAUAGCUCGGGGAAACUCGAAUUAAUACCGCAUACGACCUACGGGUGAAAGGGGGCGCAAGCUCUUGCUAUUAGAUGAGCCUAAAUCAGAUUAGCUAGUUGGUGGGGUAAAGGCCCACCAGGGCGACGAUCUGUAACUGGUCUGAGAGGAUGAUCAGUCACACCGGAACUGAGACACGGUCCGGACUCCUACGGGAGGCAGCAGUGGGGAAUAUUGGACAAUGGGGGCAACCCUGAUCCAGCCAUGCCGCGUGUGUGAAGAAGGCCUUUUGGUUGUAAAGCACUUUAAGCAGGGAGGAGAGGCUAAUGGUUAAUACCCAUUAGAUUAGACGUUACCUGCAGAAUAAGCACCGGCUAACUCUGUGCCAGCAGCCGCGGU